CCCAGAAACACCACCAGCCAAAGCCUUAAGAGAUAGGUAUGCUGUGAAGAAGCAGGUAUGAAAGAUAGAAUGAUACGAUACAAAAAAGAAACUGCAUAUACACUGGCUGGAGUAGCUGCAAAGUGGCUUUUUCCAGGUCCGAAGGGAUCCAAUGCCCAACUACCGCCCAAAAUUACAUUAUUGGAGCCAAGCCAGGAAUGGCCGUUAGUGGACACCCACCACUUUUCACCGGUUGGAGAUAAUCGAAUGACUUGAAACACUUCUCUAUAAGAAGCACUAUUGGAUUGGUUGCAACCACACCUACACUAUGGUGCCUCCAAGACAUCCUGCCCCCUUCCAAGUGAUUAAAUCAAAUAAGGUAAGUAAGAAUCACCAACCAAAUCAUAAACUCAAUCCUAAACUUCAGAGUGGAAGAUAACAAAAGGUGAGUUUUCUGGCUAUUCUUGAAGAAGCUGGUAUUGAAUCGGUUGCUCAAGAAGGGAUUGACCUAAGACCCGAUCAAGCUUAAGAAUUUGUGCUCGAAGACAGAGGCUGUAGUUCUCCUUCAUCGUUGAAUUGGGGCUAAUCCUCCUAUCUCUUAAAGGUUGGUCGAUAAUCAAUUCCCUUUACUGGAACCUCUUUCAGACCUGUCUUUGAAGAUCUUGAAAAUAAAAAACCAUAGUAAAUAGUAAAUACAGGAGAAAAUGAGGAUUCUGAAAUAAUGUUGAAAGUAAUUAAUUGAAAACUACAAAUUAGUAUUUAUCGUAGCAAAAUGUGGUUAUUAUAAUCUAAGGACAAUCAUUCUCCCAAACGUCCCUUGAAUCAUCAACAAUCAUGUAAAUUUUAUAUUGAUUAUCUUGUUCAUAUUAUGUGUUAUGGGGAGAAUGAAUUUCAUGACCGUUACCUA